ACGGGUGAGUAAUGCCUAGGAAUCUGCCUGGUAGUGGGGGACAACGUUUCGAAAGGAACGCUAAUACCGCAUACGUCCUACGGGAGAAAGCAGGGGACCUUCGGGCCUUGCGCUAUCAGAUGAGCCUAGGUCGGAUUAGCUAGUUGGUGAGGUAAUGGCUCACCAAGGCGACGAUCCGUAACUGGUCUGAGAGGAUGAUCAGUCACACUGGAACUGAGACACGGUCCAGACUCCUACGGGAGGCAGCAGUGGGGAAUAUUGGACAAUGGGCGAAAGCCUGAUCCAGCCAUGCCGCGUGUGUGAAGAAGGUCUUCGGAUUGUAAAGCACUUUAAGUUGGGAGGAAGGGUUGUAGAUUAAUACUCUGCAAUUUUGACGUUACCGACAGAAUAAGCACCGGCUAACUCUGUGCCAGCAGCCGCGGUAAUACAGAGGGUGCAAGCGUUAAUCGGAAUUACUGGGCGUAGAGCGCGCGUAGGUGGUUCGUUAAGUUGGAUGUGAAAUCCCCGGGCUCAACCUGGGAACUGCAUCCAAAACUGGCGAGCUAGAGUAUGGUAGAGGGUGGUGGAAUUUCCUGUGUAGCGG
rnacentral:rRNA from 1 species